rnacentral:lncRNA from 1 species
AUGGGAAUAUCAAGCUCAUAAAUACUGACAUGUUUUCAUAUUUUAAAAUAAAACAUCUCAUCUAGGGACUAAGUCACCGAGUUUCCGUAUAUACCUAGUGAAUAAGAAUUCAUAAUUGAAAUUGCAUUUAGAGCGUCACAUCAUGUAUAUAAAUUCAUAAUAAAUAAGAACUCAUAAUGCAAUUCUAUCAAAGAUCAUAGAGGCAUUUCAACUUUCAUAAAAAUUAUGUAACAAAGUGUAUCUAUCUUGAAGACCCCCUUGGUUCUACUAGGCAUAUGAAUACCUCCCUUUUUUAGAUAAGGAAUAAAAUAUUUCAUCUCAUUUGGGACUAAAGUCAUUAAAGCUAAAAAAAUACCAUGUGGUACUUGAGGCUGUUAAGAUCGCCCUUUUUUUCAAUUAUGAAAAAGAUAAAUCAUCUUACAUAUAGGCAACUUACGGUACAGUCCAACUUAUCAAAAAGUUUGUAUACCCUUUAAUUUGAAUUAUGAUUUGAUAAGAUCGACGGUUCUAAAAUAAUCAAGAAUGAGAAAAUGUGUAGUUAGCCCAACAACGUGCACAGAUAAACCACAUCAUAAUCACUAGUAAAUCAAAAGAAAUGAAGGGCGAAAAAGUAACAGCAUCGAAAGAUGAAACAAAAAUUGGUUUCAUGGAAAAAGCCAAUAAGAAUAAUAUCUUUGAAGUUUCAAGUUUCUGUUUUUCAGAAAACGUGUGACUUGGAAUGAAACCCUAAUCUGAAAAUUUUGAAUAAUCAAGAACCCUAAUAUUGGAGGCUCUUGAAUAAUCAAGAACAAGAAAGAACCGGUAAAUGUGGUAGCAUUCCACCAAACAUUCGUUUCUUGAGGGAAAAAGAAUCUGCCACCGAUUAGAGUCACCAAACAAAGAAUGAAACAAUCCAAAAGUUAAUGCCAGUUUUAAAGAUACUCGAUGGAUCCAAGAAGAUAAUCUUGCAAUUUUAAACCCAUUCUUUCUCUAUCGUUCUGGAAGAAGAAAGAAAAAGAACCUGUCGCAAUCGAUUAGAUUAGAGUCAGCAACUAAACCACAAGUACGCGGUUUCAAACCAGGAACCGUUUUCGUGUAACCGUCCAGUCCAGAAAACAGCUUGAAAAACUAUUUCAUGUCCUAUUUUCUUUCUCGUUUCUCGUCUGGUAUUUUCGAUCUCUUCCACGCCGUCAUUUCCCACUUCUUCCAAAGUCAGCAACUGCUACUGUAAUUUCCCAACUAUAUACAUAGUAGUGCCACGUGAUAAUGGGCUUGGCCCACAAAGUUACGGUUAGUGUGGUUAAUAAUGGGCUUGGCCCACAAUAAGUUUUGAAGGUAAACUACAUUCUAUUAAGUAAACAUUUUAUGAAAGGUUAAGUUAAACCUAAUUACAUAUUAUAUAAUUUAUAUAUAUAUAUAUAUAUAUAUAUAUAUAUAUAUAUAUUUUUUUUUUUAAAUAAAUAUAAAUAUAAAUACGGUAUUCUGAAGUUGAGGAUAUUGCAUCAAAGACUUGAGGAAAUUCAUAAAUUCAUUUUGCAAACUUAGGAUAUAUAUACCUAACAAUUGUAUUAGUUUCCUACAACACUCCAAAUUUCUCAACUCUAUAUAUGCAAAAGGGUUCAAAUAUUAAAGAUCACAAGACUACGUUUGAAUCCUAAUCCACUUUUUAAAUGUAAAUCUAUAAAGUUAUAUUUAUAAUUAUAAUAUUUAUGAAUAUUGUGGAGGUAAAUAUUAGUCUUAAUUUAAAUUAGAGAUUUUAAAAAGAAAAACAUAGCAACAGCGACAACUUUUUGCCAUAUUACGUAUGUCACAUCAUACGUUUAAUAGCCAACUUAGCUCAUACUUAAAAAGAUUUUUUUUUUUUUGCAUAAUGUAGCAAUAACAAUGGUCUUAAAAUGAAAUUUUAAAAAGUUAAAUGAUUAAAAUGAGUAACGACUAAAAGAAUAAAAGUAUAUCUUUUAACAAAAAAAAAUAUGAUCUCCUUUUUUUUUUAUAUAGAUUUCUUCCACUAAAAGUAAUCAUAUUUCAAAAAAUGAUUAAAAUAAAAAUGAAAAACUAUUUUGAGAAGCUCUCCAUAAAAAUUAUUUUUAAAAGAUAUAUUUAAAAAAAAUAUAUAUGAUUUUGAUCAUGUUAAAAUUUUUAAUAAUGGAUAUCUAAAUUAUUGAAUAUUAAAAUUACUUUUUUUGAAUUAAUAACAAAUGAAAUAUAAAAAAAAAAACUUCUAUUUUUAAAUAAAUUUUCAUAUAAAUCAUUUUUAAAAAUAUAAAGUCAAAAUUAAUUUUUUUUAAAACUUUAAAUAAAUACCCCCAAUAAGCACAUUUCGGAAAAAAAUCAUCUAUAAAUAUAUGCACUUUUUGAAUUUACUAAGUGCAUUUAUUAUUUUUUUCUCAAACAUAUCACUUUUUUAAUACCAUUAAUGUGUCUAGUAAUAUAAAAAAUCAAAUUUAACACAUUCAACUUAUAAUAUAUUAACCAAACACGAUAAAAUAAUGAUAUUAUUAUCAUUAAAUAUCCAUAUCAAACAACACAAUUUAUGAACUAAUCAUUAAAUAAUUAUAUUGAACGACACGAGGGGAUCACUAUAUAAAUUAAAAUUGAACCAACGAAUAUUUAUUUAACAAAACAUUAUGCAUUAGUAUUUUUUAUAUUUUUCUAUAGGUUUCAUUACGUGGAUGUUGACUGAUUCCAUAAAAGAUGAAUGAUAUACUAGAUAAUUUAUUCAAAUAAAGUGACAAAAUUAAAAAAAAAAAAAAAAAAAAAAGAUGAAUUAGGUUGAAAAGAUGAAAAAGACGCUACAAUUAAUAAUUAUUUAUAAGCCAAUGAAAAAUCACCACAAUAUUAAAGAAACCAUUGAUAAGAUUAAGCAAGUUUUAAUAUAAGAAUUUAAAGAAGAAACCUAGCUUACUAACAAUUUUCACUAGAGAAAUUCUAAUUCAUUUCAAACUAAAUUACAAAUCAUAUAUUUAUGGUAAGGCUACCUCUAAACCUAAAUGAAACCAUAAAUGACACUAUUAUGUACUAUUAUGUAGAUUCAUAUAUUACAUUAUACUUUAAACCUAACUCAAACUUUUGAAAUCUAAUAUAAUCCACUAGUUUAUUUACAUUUCCAUGUAAAGGCCGUAACAAUUAGCUUAAAGUUAAAAGUUACAAUAUAAUAUAUGUACUCCAAGAAAUGAAAUCACUUUAAAAUUUAUUUUAAUUUUGUGUCUUUAGAUUUAAAAUUUGUUUAAAUAUCUUUCCAACAUUUUACGAUAAUCUUUUCAUUUUAAACAUUAUCAAAAAUAUUUUGUAAGCAAAAAACAGAAUUAAAAUAACUCUUUCUAUAUAAAUGAUUAAUUAAUUAUUUUUUAUAUAAAAAUAAUUAAUCUUUGAUACUGUUUAUUUUUAACAAAUUAUUGUCAAAAUUUAUCUUUUACAAAAUUGCACAAUAUUUUCAAACUAUAGGCAAAACCAAAGCUAAUGUAAAGAGAAGUUGUAACAUACUCAAAUCAAUAAGUUUGUGGGUGCAAAACUAAUUUUUAAUUUCAUUAAUAAAAAUUAAUUCAAAUCAAUAACUACUUAUAUAGCUACCCCAAUUUACUACUUAUUUGACCUUUAUUAAAUUUCUUAUGCUAAAUCAGCGUAUUGAUACAAUAUAUCACCGAUAUUACUACCAUGUUAACGUAGAACAAGAAAGUUAUUAUCCAUCUUAAUUGAAUGGUCAAGUGCGAGAAAAAAAUAGAUGAUAUCUGAAUACGAUUUCUUAACUUUAUUCUACUAAUGAAAAUGCAAAUGUUAAAGAACAAUCAUCCCAAAAUAAAAAGAAAAAAAAAACUCAUCACUCAAAUUAACCAAAACACAAGACCCGCACCAACUUAAAUUCAAAAAAAUCAACUGAUCUUAAAUGUAUAAAUAACUAACUUAAAUUUGAAUGAUUUGACAAAAUUGUAUUUGAAUCCAAUCAAACACAAUUGAUACUCUAAUCUAACGACAGUGGUGUUAGAUUUGUAAUCUUAUAUUCACUAGGAGAAAAUAAGGUAUGACGUAGUUAAAAAAACUAACACUACUCAUUAUGAAUCAUCUAAAAAUACAACUCUAUAUGUAUAGUAGUUACAAGAAAAAUUAACCAAUAUCUUAAUUAUUUACACUAAUUUUUAAAAUCUAAUAGUUUUUCGACAUAUAUAACUUUAAUCAAUCAUUAAAAUAUAAAUAUCAUCAGAAUAAAAUAUCAAUUAUUUUUUUAAUAAGAAUUAUAAGUACAAUACAUUCACAUUUGAUAUAAAACGAUGAUUUGAUAUCGAUUGACAUAAUUUGAUGAUAUGCAAUGAGUUACUUGAAUAAAUCAAUUACUAACAUAUCACAAUACGAAUAGCCUAUUAACAAAACAGACUCCUACGAAUAGAUCUAAGAAAAGUAAUUACUACGAAUAGCCAAUUAACAAAACAGACUCCUACUUAUUUGUCAUAUAUAAAUGAGAUUACGACUAAAAUUUAUAGUGCACAAUUAUCAAGAAAACAACACUACUCAUUAUGAAUCAUCUAAAAAUACAACUCUAUAUGUAUAGUGGUUACAAGAAAAAUUAACCAAUAUCUUAAUUAUUUACACUAAUCUUUAAAAUCUAAUAGUUUUUCGACAUACAUAACUUUAAUCAAUCAUUAAAAUAUAAAUAUCAUCAGAAUAAAAUAUCAAUUAUUUUUUUAAUAAGAAUUAUAAGUACAAUACAUUCACAUUUCAUAUAAAACGAUGAUUUGAUAUCGAUUGACAUAAUUUGAUGAUAUGCAAUUAGUUACUUGAAUAAAUCAAUUACUAACAUAUCACAAUACGAAUAGCCUAUUAACAAAACAGACUCCUACGAAUAGAUCUAAGAAAAGUAAUUACUACGAAUAGCCUAUUAACAAAACAGACUCCUACUUAUUUGUCAUAUAUAAAUGAGAUUACGACUAAAAUUUAUAGUGCACAAUUAUCAAGAAAACAACACUACUCAUUAUGAAUCAUCUAAAAAUACAACUCUAUAUGUAUAGUGGUUACAAGAAAAAUUAACCAAUAUCUUAAUUAUUUACACUAAUCUUUAAAAUCUAAUAGUUUUUCGACAUAUAUAACUUUAAUCAAUCAUUAAAAUAUAAAUAUCAUCAGAAUAAAAUAUCAAUUAUUUUUUUAAUAAGAAUUAUAAGUACAAUACAUUCACAUUUCAUAUAAAACGAUGAUUUGAUAUCGAUUGACAUAAUUUGAUGAUAUGCAAUGAGUUACUUGAAUAAAUCAAUUACUAACAUAUCACAAUACGAAUAGCCUAUUAACAAAACAGACUCCUACGAAUAGAUCUAAGAAAAGUAAUUACUACGAAUAGCCUAUUAACAAAACAGACUCCUACUUAUUUGUCAUAUAUAAAUGAGAUUACGACUAAAAUUUAUAGUGCACAAUUAUCAAGAAAACAACACUACUCAUUAUGAAUCAUCUAAAAAUACAACUCUAUAUGUAUAGUGGUUACAAGAAAAAAUAACCAAUAUCUUAAUUAUUUACACUAAUCUUUAAAAUCUAAUAGUUUUUCGACAUAUAUAACUUUAAUCAAUCAUUAAAAUAUAAAUAUCAUAAGAAUAAAAUAUCAAUUAUUUUUUUAAUAAGAAUUAUAAGUACAAUACAUUCACAUCUCAUAUAAAACGAUGAUUUGAUAUCGAUUGACAUAAUUUGAUGAUAUGCAAGGAGUUACUUGAAUAAAUCAAUUACUAACAUAUCACAAUACGAAUAGCCUAUUAACAAAACAGACUCCUACGAAUAGAUAUAAGAAAGUAAUUACUACGAAUAGCCUAUUAACAAAACAGACUCCUACUUAUUUGUCAUAUAUAAAUGAGAUUACGACUAAAAUUUAUAGUGCACAAUUAUCAAGAAAACAACACUACUCAUUAUGAAUCAUCUAAAAAUACAACUCUAUAUGUAUAGUGGUUACAAGAAAAAUUAACCAAUAUCUUAAUUAUUUACACUAAUCUUUAAAAUCUAAUAGUUUUUCGACAUAUAUAACUUUAAUCAAUCAUUAAAAUAUAAAUAUCAUCAGAAUAAAAUAUCAAUUAUUUUUUUAAUAAGAAUUAUAAGUACAAUACAUUCACAUUUCAUAUAAAACGAUAAUUUGAUAUCGAUUGACAUGAUUUGAUGAUUUGCAAUGAGUUACUUGAAUAAAUCAAUUACUAACAUAUCACAAUACGAAUAGCCUAUAAACAAAACAGAUUUCUACGAAUAGAUCUAAGAAAAGUAAUUACUACGAAUAGCCUAUUAACAAAACAGACUCCUACUUAUUUGUCAUAUAUAAAUGAGAUUACGACUAAAAUUUAUAGUGCACAAUUAUCAAGAAAACAACACUACUCAUUAUGAAUCAUCUAAAAAUACAACUCUAUAUGUAUAGUGGUUACAAGAAAAAAUAACCAAUAUCUUAAUUAUUUACACUAAUCUUUAAAAUCUAAUAGUUUUUCGACAUAUAUAACUUUAAUCAAUCAUUAAAAUAUAAAUAUCAUCAGAAUAAAAUAUCAAUUAUUUUUUUAAUAAGAAUUAUAAGUACAAUACAUUCACAUUUCAUAUAAAACGAUGAUUUGAUAUCGAUUGACAUGAUUUGAUGAUUUGCAAUGAGUUACUUGAAUAAAUCAAUUACUAACAUAUCACAAUACGAAUAGCCUAUAAACAAAACAGACUUCUACGAAUAGAUCUAAGAAAAGUAAUUACUACGAAUAGCCUAUUAACAAAACAGACUCCUACUUAUUUGUCAUAUAUAAAUGAGAUUACGACUAAAAUUUAUAGUGCACAAUUAUCAAGAAAACAACACUACUCAUUAUGAAUCAUCUAAAAAUACAACUCUAUAUGUAUAGUGGUUACAAGAAAAAUUAACCAAUAUCUUAAUUAUUUACACUAAUCUUUAAAAUCUAAUAGUUUUUCGACAUAUAUAACUUUAAUCAAUCAUUAAAAUAUAAAUAUCAUCAGAAUAAAAUAUCAAUUAUUUUUUUAAUAAGAAUUAUAAGUACAAUACAUUCACAUUUCAUAUAAAACGAUGAUUUGAUAUCGAUUGACAUAAUUUGAUGAUAUGCAAUGAGUUACUUGAAUAAAUCAAUGACUAACAUAUCACAAUACGAAUAGCCUAUUAACAAAACAGACUCCUACGAAUAAAUUUAAGAAAAGUAAUUACUACGAAUAGCCUAUUAACAAAACAGACUCCUACUUAUUUGUCAUAUAUAAAUGAGAUUACGACUACAAUUUAUAGUGCACAAGUAUCAAAAGAAGCAAUUAAAUAAUUUAUGUUCAAAUAUACUGAUUAAAUAAUUUAUAUUUAAAUAUAUUUUUAUCUUUAUAAAUAUGAACUUAUUUAGUUUUAAUACCAUAAAAAUUGAUUUAUAAUAUAACGAUUUUAAAAGUCUUUAAUGAUUUUGUAAAAAGAAAAUUAAAUGAUGAGACGAGAUUCCAAAAGGGAGACAAAGUACCUUCAUCCAAAUCCUGACAAAAUGGUGGACAAAUUUUUCCCAUCACCAUUGAAGCAAGCAAAGACCCUUCGCUUCCUAAAUGGAGCUUAAGAACUAAAAGGCAGAAGAGAGUCAUCGCCAUCAUUAACAAAAUAACACAAUAGUAAAUCGAUUGUAUAUUAAUG